UACGAGGGGGGCGAGCGUUGUUCGGAAUUAUUGGGCGUAAAGGGUGCGUAGGCGGUUUGGUAAGUCUCGUGUGAAAUCUACAGGCUCAACUUGUAGUCUGCACGAGAAACUGCCGGGCUUGAGUGUGGGAGAGGUGAGUGGAAUUCCCGGCGUAGCGGUGAAAUGCGUAGAUAUCAGGAGGAACGCCAAUGGCGAAGGCAAGUCUCUGGACAGUUCCUGACGCUCAUGCACGAAGGCCAGGGGAGCAAACGGG
rnacentral:rRNA from 1 species